AUCCACAUAAGUGGGUCCUAAGGUAAGCUCGGUGACAGGGACUAAGUCGUAACAAGGCACGGGUAGCGGAAGCUGCUCGUGGAAUAAUUCAAUU
rnacentral:ncRNA from 2 species